AUUGAACGCUGGCGGCAGGCUUAACACAUGCAAGUCGAGCGGGGGAAGGUAGCUUGCUACCGGACCUAGCGGCGGACGGGUGGGUAAUGCUUAGGAAUCUGCCUAUUAGUGGGGGACAACAUCUCGAAAGGGAUACUAGUACAGCAUACGUCCUACGGGAGAAAGCAGGGGAUCUUCGGACCUUGCGCUAAUAGAUGAGCAUAAGGCGGAUUAGCUAGUUGGUGGGGGAAAGGCCUACCAAGGCGACGAUCUGUAGCGGGUCUGAGAGGAUGAUCCGCCACACUGGGACUGAGACACGGCCCAGACUCCUACGGGAGGCAGCAGUGGGGAAUAUUGGACAAUGGGGGGAACCCUGAUCCAGCCAUGCCGCGUGUGUGAAGAAGGCCUUAUGGUUGUAAAGCACUUUAAGCGAGGAGGAGGCUACUUUAGUUAAUACCUAGAGAUAGUGGACGUUACUCGCAGAAUAAGCACCGGCUAACUCUGUGCCAGCAGCCGCCGUAA
rnacentral:rRNA from 1 species